UACGUAGGGUGCAAGCGUUGUCCGGAAUUAUUGGGCGUAAAGAGCUCGUAGGCGGUCUGUCGCGUCUGCUGUGAAAUCCCAGGGCUUAACCCCGGGCCUGCAGUGGGUACGGGCAGACUAGAGUGCGGUAGGGGAGACUGGAAUUCCUGGUGUAGCGGUGAAAUGCGCAGAUAUCAGGAGGAACACCGGUGGCGAAGGCGGGUCUCUGGGCCGUAACUGACGCUGAGGAGCGAAAGCGUGGGGAGCGAACAGG
rnacentral:rRNA from 1 species